rnacentral:lncRNA from 1 species
UCUCAAUAUUUUUAAAGGCUACUAAUUAUACAUACAAUUCAUCGUUCAUCUAAUUCAAUUAUGUAAUAAUAUGUGAACAUCCAAUUACUUAAAAAAUUAGACACAAUGAUAAGUAUAUUUGUGUCAUACUUGUAUAUUUUCUAAUGAUAAAAAAUUAGGGAAAACAAAUCUAGUACUAUAUCUUCAAGUUGCCUUCAACACUGCACCAAAAAUUCUUGAUCUUCAUGGCCUGCACCAAACAUUCUUUAUCUUCACAGCCUGCAUAUGAAUUUAGAACAAAAAUAUAAUUGUGUUUUGCUCUUAGAAAAAAUAUUAACCACCAUUAAAUAUAUAUCUAGUACUACGAUUACAAGAAUAAUAUGCUAAAAAAAAGUAAAAGAAAAUUAAAAAGAAAAAACUCAAUGAUAUAUUCUGAGAAACUAGUGUAACUAAAAAAUCACAAAACAAAAAGUUUAGAAUUUUAAAAAGAUAGCAAGAGAAAAAUAAAUAAGCAAUAAUAAUAAUAAUAAUAAUAAUAAUAAUAAUAAUAAUAAUAAUAAUUUGAAAAACACAAACCUCUGUUUUUGGUGAGGUUACAAAACUGGGUCAGUGUGCGGUUGGCCAAAACCUAGAGGUGCAGCCGUGUAGGAGUUGGGUCUUCUUCAAUUGGGAGGCAUUAUUUUAUCAUCUCAAAUCCAACAAAAAAAAAAAAGAGGUUAUCUUCAAUUAAUUUUCUAAAAAUCCAAAUUCACAAUUCAACACAAAAGUUAAAAAUUAAUGAUAUCAAUAAUUUUAGGAGAGAAAUUGGAAACAAAAGAACAAUUAUAACAAAAAUUUAAAAACCCAAAAGCAAAAAUUGUGAAUUACCUUCAUGAAACCAGUUUUUGGGACCCAUCAAUUUCUUCUGUCAAACUCAAGUCAUUUGGAGAUUCAAUUGCUCAACAAGUUAAAGGAUG